rnacentral:rRNA from 1 species
GAUGAACGCUGACAGAAUGCUUAACACAUGCAAGUCGAUGGGGAAGUGGUGCUUGCACCAUGGUAACCAUGGCGGACGGGUGAGUAACACGUAAGGAACUUACCUGCGGGACCGGGAUAACAGCAGGAAACUGCUGACAAGACCGGAUAAGGUCAUUAAGCUGCAUAGCUUAGUGAUGAAAGGAGACGCCUGCGGAGAGCCUUGCGUCCUAUUAGCUAGUUGGAGGGGUAACGGCCCACCAAGGCGAAGAUAGGUAGCCGGCCUGAGAGGGUGGACGGCCACAAGGGGACUGAGAUACGGCCCUUACUCCUACGGGAGGCAGCAGUGGGGAAUAUUGGACAAUGGGGGCAACCCUGAUCCAGCAAUUCUGUGUGCACGAAGACGGUUUUCGGAUUGUAAAGUGCUUUCAGCAGGGAAGAAGAAAGUGACGGUACCUGCAGAAGAAGCGACGGCUAAAUACGUG